CCUACGGGCUGCACCAGUGGGGAAUAUUGGACAAUGGGCGAAAGCCUGAUCCAGCAAUGCCGCGUGUGUGAAGAAGGUCUUCGGGUUGUAAAGUACUUUCAGCGGGGAGGAAGGGAGUAAAGUUAAUACCUUUGCUCAUUGACGUUACCCGCAGAAGAAGCACCGGCUAACUCCGUGCCAGCAGCCGCGGUAAUACGGAGGGUGCAAGCGUUAAUCGGAAUUACUGGGCGUAAAGCGCACGCAGGCGGUCUGUCAAGUCGGAUGUGAAAUCCCCGGGCUCAACCUGGGAACUGCAUUCGAAACUGGCAGGCUUGAGUCUUGUAGAGGGGGGUAGAAUUCCAGGUGUAGCGGUGAAAUGCGUAGAGAUCUGGAGGAAUACCGGUGGCGAAGGCGGCCCCCUGGACGAAGACUGACGCUCAGGUGCGAAAGCGUGGGGAGCAAACAGGAUUAGAUACCCGGGUAGUC
rnacentral:rRNA from 1 species